rnacentral:rRNA from 1 species
GAAAAGGACUUUGAAAAGAGAGUCAAAGAGUGCUUGAAAUUGUCGGGAGGGAAGCGGAUGGGGGCCGGCGAUGUGUCUCGGUCGGAUGUGGAACGGUUUGUGCCGGUCCGCCAAUCGGCUCGGGACAUUGACCGACGCGGAUUGUGAUGGUGGCCCAAGCCUGGGUUGUUGAAAUGCUCGCGGAGACGUCAUCAUCACGAUUGUGGGCUACAGCGCGCGCUGAUUCGGCGUGCUUCGGCACAUGCGCGCUCCUGGCGUCGGCCUGUGGGCUCCCCAUUCGACCCGUCUUGAAACACGG